AGUGAACGCUGGCGGCAGGCCUAACACAUGCAAGUCGAACGGCAGCACAGCAGUAGCAAUACUGUGGGUGGCGAGUGGCGGACGGGUGAGGAAUACAUCGGAAUCUACCUUGUCGUGGGGGAUAACGUAGGGAAACUUACGCUAAUACCGCAUACGAACUAUGGUUGAAAGCGGCGGACCGCAAGGCGUCGCGCGAUUGGAUGAGCCGAUGUCCGAUUAGCUAGUUGGCGGGGUAAAGGCCCACCAAGGCGACGAUCGGUAGCUGGUCUGAGAGGAUGAUCAGCCACACUGGAACUGAGACACGGUCCAGACUCCUACGGGAGGCAGCAGUGGGGAAUAUUGGGCAAUGGAGGAAACUCUGACCCAGCGACGCCGCGUGCGGGAUGAAGGCC
rnacentral:rRNA from 1 species